GAUGAAGAACGCAGCGAAAUGCGAUAAGUAAUGUGAAUUGCAGAAUUCAGUGAAUCAUCGAAUCUUUGAACGCACAUUGCGCCCCCUGGUAUUCCGGGGGGCAUGCCUGUUCGAGCGUCAUUUCACCACUCAAGCCUCGCUUGGUAUUGGGCAACGCGGUCCGCCGCGUGCCUCAAAUCGACCGGCUGGGUCUUCUGUCCCCUAAGCGUUGUGGAAACUAUUCGCUAAAGGGAGUUCGGGAGGCUACGCCGUAAAACAACCCCAUUUCUAAGGUUGACCUCGGAUCAGGUAGGGAUACCCGCUGAACUUAAGCAUAUAAUAAGCGGAGGA
rnacentral:misc_RNA from 1 species